UACGUAGGGGGCUAGCGUUGUCCGGAAUCAUUGGGCGUAAAGCGCGCGUAGGCGGCCCGAUAAGUCCGCUGUAAAAGUCAAAGGCUCAACCUUUGAAUGUCAGUGGAUACUGCCGGGCUAGAGUCCGGAAGAGGCGAGUGGAAUUCCUGGUGUAGCGGUGAAAUGCGUAGAUAUUGGGAGGAACACCAGUGGCGAAGGCGGCUCACUGGACCGGUACUGACGCUGAGGCGCGAAAGCGUGGGGAGCAAACGGG
rnacentral:rRNA from 1 species